rnacentral:rRNA from 1 species
AACGCUAGCUACAGGCUUAACACAUGCAAGUCGAGGGGAAACGACAUCGAAAGCUUGCUUUUGAUGGGCGUCGACCGGCGCACGGGUGAGUAACGCGUAUCCAACCUGCCCACCACUUGGGGAUAACCUUGCGAAAGUAAGACUAAUACCCAAUGACAUCUCUAGAAGACAUCUGAAAGAGAUUAAAGAUUUAUCGGUGAUGGAUGGGGAUGCGUCUGAUUAGCUUGUUGGCGGGGUAACGGCCCACCAAGGCGACGAUCAGUAGGGGUUCUGAGAGGAAGGUCCCCCACAUUGGAACUGAGACACGGUCCAAACUCCUACGGGAGGCAGCAGUGAGGAAUAUUGGUCAAUGGGCGAGAGCCUGAACCAGCCAAGUAGCGUGCAGGAAGACGGCCCUAUGGGUUGUAAACUGCUUUUAUAAGGGAAUAAAGUGAGUCUCGUGAGACUUUUUGCAUGUACCUUAUGAAUAAGGACCGGCUAAUUCCGUGCCAGCAGCCGCGGUAAUACGGAAGGUCCGGGCGUUAUCCGGAUUUAUUGGGUUUAAAGGGAGCGUAGGCCGGAGAUUAAGCGUGUUGUGAAAUGUAGACGCUCAACGUCUGCACUGCAGCGCGAACUGGUUUCCUUGAGUACGCACAAAGUGGGCGGAAUUCGUGGUGUAGCGGUGAAAUGCUUAGAUAUCACGAAGAACUCCGAUUG